rnacentral:rRNA from 1 species
GAGUUUGAUCGUGGCUCAGAUUGAACGCUGGCGGCAGGCCUAACACAUGCAAGUCGAGCGGUAGAGGAGAAGCUUGCUUCUCUUGAGAGCGGCGGACGGGUGAGUAAUGCCUAGGAAUCUGCCUGGUAGGUGGGGGAUAACGCUCGGAAACGGACGCUAAUACCGCAUACGUCCUACGGGAGAAAGCAGGGGACCUUCGGGCCUUGCGCUAUCAGAUGAGCUUAGGUCGGAUUAGCUAGUUGGUGAGGUAAUGGCUCACCAAGGCGACGGAUCCGUAACUGGUCUCGAGAGGAUGAUCAGUCACACUGGAACUGAGACACGGUCCAGACUCCUACGGGAGGCGAGCA